rnacentral:rRNA from 1 species
GAUGAACGCUGGCGGCGUGCUUAACACAUGCAAGUCGAACGGUGAAGCAGAGCUUGCUCUGUGGAUCAGUGGCGAACGGGUGAGUAACACGUGAGCAACCUGCCCCUGACUCUGGGAUAAGCGCUGGAAACGGCGUCUAAUACUGGAUAUGAGCUGCGACCGCAUGGUCAGCAGUUGGAAAGAUUUUUCGGUCUGGGAUAGGCUCACGGCCUAUCAGCUUGUUGGUGAGGUAAUGGCUCACCAAGGCGUCGACGGGUAGCCGGCCUGAGAGGGUGACCGGCCACACUGGGACUGAGACACGGCCCAGACCCCUACGGGAGGCAGCAGUGGGGAAUAUUGCACAAUGGGCGAAAGCCUGAUGCAGCAACGCCGCGUGAGGGAUGACGGCCUUCGGGUUGUAAACCUCUUUUAGCAGGGAAGAAGCGAAAGUGACGGUACCUGCAGAAAAAGCGCCGGCUAACUACGUG